UACGGGGGGGGCAAGCGUUGUUCGGAAUUACUGGGCGUAAAGGGUUCGUAGGUGGCCUGCUAAGUCAGACGUGAAAUCCCUCAGCUUAACUGGGGAACUGCGUCUGAGACUGGUGGGCUUGAGUGCAGGAGAGGAACGCGGAAUUCCAGGUGUAGCGGUGAAAUGCGUAGAUAUCAAGUAGAACACCAGUGGCGAAGGCGAGUCCCUGGAAAACACCUGACACUGAGGCACGAAAGCUAGGGGAGCAAACAGG
rnacentral:rRNA from 1 species